rnacentral:rRNA from 1 species
GACGAACGCUGGCGGCGCGCUUAACACAUGCAAGUCGAACGGAAAGGCCUGCUUUCCCUUGUGGAUUGCGGGUACUCGAGUGGCGAACGGGUGAGUAACACGUGAGUGAUCUGCCCCCAACUUGGGUAUAAGCCUGGGAAACUGGGUCUAAUUCCCGAUAGGACUGCAGGGUGGUGCCUGUGGUGGAAAACGAUUUUCUAGUGGUUGGGGAUGAGCUCGCGGCCUAUCAGCUUGUUGGUGGGGUAAUGGCCUACCAAGGCGGCGACGGGUAGCCGGCCCGAGAGGGUGGACGGCCACAUUGGGACUGAGAUACGGCCCAGACUCCUACGGGAGGCAGCAGUGGGGAAUAUUGCACAAUGGGAGGAAGCCUGAUGCAGCGACGCCGCGUGGGGGAUGACGGCCUUCGGGUUGUAAACUCCUUUCGACCGCGAGGAAGCCACCUGGUUGGAAGGGUGGUGACGGUAGUGGUAGAAGAAGCACCGGCUAACUACGUG